rnacentral:rRNA from 1 species
UCAGGCGUAACACAUGCAAGUCGAACGAAGCCUUCGGGCUUAGUGGCGCACGGGUGCGUCACGCGUGGGAAUCUGCCCUUGGGUACGGAAUAACAGUGAGAAAUUACUGCUAAUACCGUAUGAUGUCUUCGGACCAAAGAUUUAUCGCCCAGGGAUGAGCCCGCGUAGGAUUAGCUAGUUGGUGAGGUAAAGGCUCUCCAAGGCGACGAUCUUUAGGUGGUCUGAGAGGAUGAUCAGCCACACUGGGACUGAGACGCGUCCCAGACUCCUACGGGAGGCAGCAGUGGGGAAUAUAAGAGAAGGGGCGAAAGCCUGAUCCAUCAAUGCCGCG